AGCGGCGGACAGGUGAGUAAUGUCUGGGAAACUGCCUGAUGGAGGGGGAUAUCUACUGGAAACGGUUACUCAUACCCCACAAAGUCCCAAGACCUGAGUGGGGGACCUUCUGGCCUCUUGCCAUCUUAUGUGCCCCGAUGGGAUUAGCUAGUAUGUGGGGUAACGGCUCACCUAGGCGACAAUCCCUAUCUGGUCUGAGAGGAUGACCUCCCACACUGGAACUGAGACACGGUCCCCACUCCUACAGGAGGCGCCACUGGGGAAUAUUGCACAAUGGGCGCAAGCCUGAUGCACCCCUGCCCCGUGUGUGAAAAAAGCCUUCUGGUUGUAAAGCACUUUUUUGGGGAGGAAAGCGAUAAGGUUAAUAACCUUGUCGAUUGACGUUACCCGCAAAAAAAACACCGGCUAACUCCGUGCCACCACCCGCGGUAAUACAGAGGGUGCAAGCGUUUAUCUCAAUUACUGGGCGUAAAGCGCACGCACGCGGUCUGUCAAGUCUCAUGUGAAAUCCCCGGGCUCUCCUGGGAACUGCAUUCGAAACUGGGGGCUAGAGUCUUGUAGAGGGGGGUAGAAAUCCUCGUGUAGCGGUGAAAUGCGUAUAGAUCUGGAGGAAUACCGGUGGCGAAAGCGGCCCCCCUGGACAAGACUGACGACUCUGUGCGAAAGCGUGUGGAGCAGACACGAUUAUUAUACCCUGGUGGUACUCGCGCAUACGAUGUCGAUUUGUGAGGUUGUGCCCUCGAUGCGUGCGUCCGGAGCUAA
rnacentral:rRNA from 1 species